GGAGUGGUAAGCCUAACGGUAAGGCAGCGGUUUGCUAAACCGUGAGUAAUCCGAAAGGAUGUGCAGGUUCAAGUCCUGUCCACUCCGCCA
rnacentral:tRNA from 1 species